rnacentral:rRNA from 1 species
UGAACGCUAGCUACAGGCUUAACACAUGCAAGUCGAGGGGCAUCAGGAAGAAAGCUUGCUUUCUUUGCUGGCGACCGGCGCACGGGUGAGUAACACGUAUCCAACCUGCCCUUUACUCGGGGAUAGCCUUUCGAAAGAAAGAUUAAUACCCGAUAGCAUAAUGAUUCCGCAUGGUUUCAUUAUUAAAGGAUUCCGGUAAAGGAUGGGGAUGCGUUCCAUUAGGUUGUUGGUGAGGUAACGGCUCACCAAGCCUUCGAUGGAUAGGGGUUCUGAGAGGAAGGUCCCCCACAUUGGAACUGAGACACGGUCCAAACUCCUACGGGAGGCAGCAGUGAGGAAUAUUGGUCAAUGGGCGUUAGCCUGAACCAGCCAAGUAGCGUGAAGGAUGAAGGCUCUAUGGGUCGUAAACUUCUUUUAUAUAAGAAUAAAGUGCAGUAUGUAUACUGUUUUGUAUGUAUUAUAUGAAUAAGGAUCGGCUAACUCCGUGCCAGCAGCCGCGGUAAUACGGAGGAUCCGAGCGUUAUCCGGAUUUAUUGGGUUUAAAGGGAGCGUAGGUGGACUGGUAAGUCAGUUGUGAAAGUUUGCGGCUCAACCGUAAAAUUGCAGUUGAUACUGUCAGUCUUGAGUACAGUAGAGGUGGGCGGAAUUCGUGGUGUAGCGGUGAAAUGCUUAGAUAUCACGAAGAACUCCGAUUGCGAAGGCAGCUCACUGGACUGCAACUGACACUGAUGCU